GCCUUUAUGGUGUAAUGGUUAGCACACUCGGCUCGUAUUCGGGAGGUCCGAGGUUCGAGUCCCUGCGAGGGCG
rnacentral:tRNA from 1 species